ACCUUGAUGUAUGUAUUAUGUAUCAUGAGCUAAAAUGAUCUCGAAAAUUGGAUGGACGGUGUGGAUAUAACACGUACAUCAUGGUGGCCCCACAUAACUUCGUAACGUUAACACACCACCGAGGUCGGUGGUGUGUGCGUGCCGCACCCCGCAAUCCGCUUCCGUAGUAGACGCUUCCGAUUCAUGGAAAUCCUGUUUUCCCUAAAAGCCGCUACAGCAUCACUCUUGUUCCUUGCGAGCUUCAGGAAUCAAAUUUUGGACAUGGUGAUGAUUGUUGUGACGUUGAUUCUGGGUGCCAUAUUUGUAGCUCUUUUCUUAAUUCCAAGAGCUAUUAAGUCUGGUGAUGCAAAAGUUGUUCAGACAAAUCCUUCUAGUAAGGCAACAAAACUGUACACAAAAGCUGAAGUUUCUCUCCAUAACACAAGGACUGAUUGUUGGAUUAUAAUAAAAGACAAGGUUUAUGAUGUUACUCCAUAUGUGGAAGAACAUCCGGGAGGUGAUGCAAUACUAGUGCAUGCUGGGGACGACUCAACCGAAGGCUUUUUUGGGCCGCAGCAUGCAACCCGGGUCUUUGAUAUGGUGGACGAAUUCUACAUUGGUGAUUUGAAACGGUGAAACCACAACCAUCUCUUGACCCAUCUCAAGUGCAACAAAGCUGAAACAUUUCUAUCUUCCAGAAACCUGUUGUGGUACCAAGGAUGACACCAUAUGGAUCCAGCUUGUGUUGCCAACCCCUGAAUACGCAUGUUGAGUGGUCCAUGACCCGAACCAUCCAUGCUGUGGAAUCUAUGCUAUACGGGCUACCCUUAGAAACUUAUGCUGAACAGAUGAUUGUGACCAUCCCUAUCCAUAGAAAAGGAGAAUUUCAAUGGCUCGCAUUCAACUCUGAAAAUCAAAGAUUAGGAUAAAAAUUGAAGCGUGAUUAUAGGACAAUAGCUUAUUUGUAGUAAUGAGAAUAUUGAUGGUGCAAACGAUCAGAUCAUCUGAGCAUUUGGGCCACAGUGGAUGGCAAUGCAUGUUAGACCCUGGGUCAUAACAGAGGGAAAAGGAACUCAAAGUCAACCGUCUGGGAGCAACUAUUAGAUCCUUGACCAAGGGGGA